rnacentral:rRNA from 1 species
UACGUAGGGGGCGAGCGUUGUCCGGAUUUAUUGGGCGUAAAGAGCUCGUAGGUGGCUGUCAAAGUCGGGUGUGAAAUCCCAAGGCUCAACUGUGGGUCUGCAUUCGAUACUGGGUGGCUUGAGUCUGGUAGGGGGACCUGGAAUUCCUGGUGUAGCGGUGGAAUGCGCAGAUAUCAGGAGGAACACCGGUGGCGAAGGCGGGGUCCUGGGCCAGUACUGACGCUGAGGAGCGAAAGCGUGGGGAGCAAACAGGAUUAGAAACCCCCGUAGUCC